rnacentral:rRNA from 1 species
CUACGGGUGGCUGCAGUGAGGAAUAUUGCACAAUGGGGGGAACCCUGAUGCAGCAACGCCGCGUGGAGGAUGACGCAUUUCGGUGUGUAAACUCCUUUUAUAUGUCAAGAAAAUGACGGUAGCAUAUGAAUAAGCACCGGCUAACUCCGUGCCAGCAGCCGCGGUAAUACGGAGGGUGCAAGCGUUACUCGGAAUCACUGGGCGUAAAGGACGCGUAGGCGGGUUGGAAAGCAGGUGUGAAAUCCUACAGCUUAACUGUAGAACUGCACUUGAAACUUCUAAUCUAGAGUAUGGGGGGGGAGAUGGAAUUAGUGGUGUAGGGGUAAAAUCCGUAGAUAUCACUAGGAAUACCUAAAGCGAAGGCGAUCUCCUGGAACAUUACUGACGCUAAGGCGUGAAAGCGUGGGGAGCAAACAGGAUUAGAUACCCGGGUAGUC